rnacentral:rRNA from 1 species
UACAGAGGUCUCAAGCGUUGUUCGGAUUCAUUGGGCGUAAAGGGUGCGUAGGUGGCGCGGUAAGUCGGGUGUGAAAUUUCGGAGCUUAACUCCGAAACUGCAUUCGAUACUACCGUGCUUGAGGACUGGAGAGGAGACUGGAAUUUACGGUGUAGCGGUGAAAUGCGUAGAUAUCGUAAGGAAGACCAGUGGCGAAGGCGGGUCUCUGGACAGUUCCUGACGCUGAGGCACGAAGGCCAGGGGAGCAAACGGG